UUCAAGGUUGAAGAUAAUUUACUUCCUAGUUCAAACUUCCAGCAGUACAACAGGGGAUAGCAGCAGGCAGAGUAUGAACCCGGGUCAUCCACAAGUACCUCAGGACCAGGCAUCCACCCAUCAGAAAAACAACAAUGGACAUAGAUAUUUAGAACAAGAACUGAAAACAACAAUUGAGAAUAAGAAGGAUUGAGAGCAUAAAGAAUCGAGAGCAUUGUUUGAAACUAAUGAAGAGUAUGUGUCUCAAAAUAAAUUGGUGUGGUGAAAAAGAGGUUAAGGAAACAAAAAACAAAAAAACAAUUGUUUUUCUACCAUAAGGGUAUGGUGGUUAAGCACUUCUGAACCAAGUGGCCUCAGGUUUGAAUCUUAGUAAAGAAUGGGAUUUGAUACUUUUUUGGGCACCCCUGAGUCCACCAAACCAGGUACCUGACAUUAUUUUUGAAAAGUAAGGGCGGAGGGUCAUUGUGCUGGCCACCUAAAACCUUCAUGAACCAUGUCCAAAGAAACAAAUGACAUUUACAUCAUUUGCUCCAUAGAUUGCAAGUUUUGAAAGAGAAACUUUACUUCCUUCUACCAUGUGGUGCACCAACAAUGUUUGCAAAUGAAGCAUUUUAUUUCAGGAUUCUAGACAUUGUAAAUUAUCUCAUGUAACAAGUGCAAUAUAGAUAUAUUGCAAUAUGGGGCAAGUCUUAAGGCUUAUACCUCAUUUCCAUGAAGAUGUGAUUGCUUGAACGUAUUGAGUAGAAUUCAGAAUAUUGUUUGCAACAGUCAGCAAAUUUUAGUAUAACUGUUUUUGAUACUUUAAAUGGCUUAGCCAAUAAAUGUGUAUCCUACUUAUACAAUGUUACAUCAUAUCAACUAAACUGAAGCUAGUGGAGUAUUAUGAGAGAUGCAAAUAAACUGUAAUGCAUUAAUACAAACCUUUUUA